rnacentral:rRNA from 1 species
GGACGAACGCUGGCGGCGUGCCUAAUACAUGCAAGUCAACGGCUUUCUAUGGAAACUUGCUUCCACUGAGAAGAUAGUGGCGAACGGGUGAGUAACACGUGGGUAACCUGCCCAUGAGAGGGGGAUAACAUCCGGAAACGGGUGCUAAUACCGCAUAGUUUUCUUGAUCGCAUGAUCGGGAAAGGAAAGACGGCCUUUGUGCUGUCGCUUAUGGAUGGACCCGCGGCGUAUUAGUUAGUUGGUGAGGUAACGGCUCACCAAGACGAUGAUACGUAGCCGACCUGAGAGGGUGAUCGGCCACAUUGGGACUGAGACACGGCCCAGACUCCUACGGGAGGCAGCAGUAGGGAAUCUUCCGCAAUGGACGAAAGUCUGACGGAGCAACGCCGCGUGAGUGAAGAAGGUUUUCGGAUCGUAAAACUCUGUUGUCAGAGAAGAACAAGUUGGAGAGUAACUGCCCCAGCCUUGACGGUAUCUGACCAGAAAGCCACGGCUAACUACGUGCCAGCCGCGGC